rnacentral:misc_RNA from 1 species
GCUCCUACCGAUUGAGUGAUCCGGUGAAUUAUUCGGACUGACGCAGUGCUCAGCUUCUGGACGUUUCGUUGGAAAGUUUCAUGAACCUUAUCACUUAGAGGAAGGAGAAGUCGUAACAAGGUUUCCGUAGGUGAACCUGCAGAAGGAUCAAGUUCGGUAGUGCGUCGUUUUGGGUAAUCGUCUAGUUCUCGGUGGUCCCCGUAUCUUUUAAAAAAACAUUUUUUCUUUCUCCUCUUCUUCCCUCUUUCUUUCCCUCUAUUCUUUCUUUUCUUUUUUC